ACAAGAUUUUACAAAAAAAUUAAAAAGUCUUUAAAAUGCUAGUUUUUUUGUUGGCCUUUAUUUUGUCAGUAAAUAAAUGUGGAAUAAUAAAACAAGUGAACUCUUCAGGAAGCAAAAGCACAAUUCUAACCAGACAACAUUUAAGUAAUUUAACUUCUUUAAUUUAAAGGGGGUUACAGUCACAAAAAUUCUCUAAAACACUGUGAAUUAGCUCUUUUUGGUGAGUACAAAUAAAACCCACUUACAAACAUAUCAGUCAAACAAGUAUGUUUUCAAGUAUUUUAUUCUGUUGAUAAAAAUGUUUUAAAUGGUGUUGGUAUUCUAGCCUCAUCUUCCCUACUUAUAAGAACUAUAGAAUAUGACAUUUAAAAUGUUUUAGUAACAUAGAUUUUUUUUUCUUUUUUUAUAACUAUGAGACAUGUCUGCUCCUGACAGCACCAAUCUACCUCAUAGAAGAUAUGGGCAUUGAAGAAAAUGUAUAUGGAGUUGACUUUCAUUGUGGCAAAAGUUAGCCACUGGGCAACAGAGUGCCCUUGCAUUAACUGCUGAUAAUAUGCUGUAUAAACUGGACAUACAGGACCCAGAGGAAAAUGAUCACUGAAUUCGCCAAAACAAUGAGAGAUGGUCCUUCAGGUUACUGUUUCACAGAGGAGACUGCCAGACAUUCUUCAGGACACAGGAGAUGUGACUGAAAAACUCUAGGCCUAUAGAUUGAAGAUGGAUAUCCCAACAUUGCAGACAAACUUUAGCUGACUGUCCAGGUGUGAGACUCAAUAGCAAAACACAAAGAGCCCAAGACAUGAAAUUGUUGCAGAAAAUAUUCUCGAGGGUACAUUUUAGUAAUUAUCUCAUUUUACUCAUGGAACAUAUUGGAAGGAAGGCUAAGGGUGUUUCAGGACUCAAAGGACAGAUGGAAUCAAGGGCAGAAGGAUGAAUCACUCUGACCCUUCAAUAGCUUUGGAGCAGAUUCCACACAAGGCAGGCCAUGAGAAGAAAAAAAGAAAAAGAGAGUAAGGUGAAUGAUCACUGCUUCCCUAAGAAGACUGGAAAAGGCCAAUACAUUCUGCCCCUACAGAACUUUACACAGCUCAGCCUCACUACAAGGCAGCAUAGAUUCCACAACAGUUGUAAACUUCCCACAAAAUAUCAGUACCUAGUGAUUUUCCCUUGUGUUUUAUGAAUAAAAUUACAAA